AAACUUCGGGAUGGCUCGAGUUUUUAGCAAGAUGUACCCUUCAGUUUGGCAUAGCGACUGGAAACAGUCGAUAAUUUCAAAUACUCGUAGUUUUCGCAUGAAGAUUACGGAAAAGAAGCGUUUGCUUCGCUGGAGGAGCGGGGUGCGUAACAUUAGCUAGUUGGUGAGGUAACGGCCCACCAAGGCGAUGAUGUUUAGCGGGGUUGAGAGACUGAACCGCCACACUGGGACUGAGAUACGGCCCAGACUCCUACGGGAGGCAGCAGUAGGGAAUAUUCCACAAUGGGCGAAAGCCUGAUGGAGCGACACAGCGUGAAGGAUGAAGGUCCUAUGGAUUGUAAACUUCUGUGGUAAGGGAAGAAAAGACAGAAUAGGAAAUGAUUUUGUUUUGACGGUACCUUAUUAGAAAGCAACGGCUAACUAUGUGCCAGCAGCCGCGGUAAUACAUAGGUUGCAAGCGUUAUCCGGAAUUAUUGGGCGUAAAGCGUCUGUAGGUUGUUUGUUAAGUCUGGCGUUAAAUUUUGGGGCUCAACCCCAAAACGCGUUGGAUACUGGCAGGCUAGAGUUGUGUAGAGGUUAGCGGAAUUCCUUGUGAAGCGGUGAAAUGCGUAGAUAUAAGGAAGAACACCAAGAUGGCGAAGGCAGCUAACUGGACAUAUACCGACACUGAGAGACGAAAGCGUGGGGAGCAAACAGGAUUAGAUACCCUGGUAGUCCACGCCCUAAACGAUGAUCAUUAGCUGAUGGGGAACUCAUCGGCGCAGCUAACGCAUUAAAUGAUCCAUCUUUCUAGAAGAUCUCCUACAAUAUUCUCAGCUGCCAUGGAAAAUCGAUGUUCUUCUUUUAUUCUCUCAAGAUUUUCACGCUGUAUAUUAAAACUUAUAUUAAGAACUAUGCUAACCACCUCAUCAGAACCGUUGUAGGUGGCGUGGGUUUUCUUGGCAAUCGACUCUCAUGAAAACUACGAGCUAAAUAUUCAAUAUGUUCCUCUUGACCAACUUUAUUCUGCAUUUUUUUUGAACGAGUUUAGAGCAGCUUCAGAAACUGAGACAGGAAUUUUAUUAAAAUUUAAAUUUUGAAGAAGUUCAGGUUAAUAGCAUCCAUCU
rnacentral:rRNA from 1 species